GACGAACGCUGGCGGCGUGCUUAACACAUGCAAGUCGAACGGAAAGGCCCUGCUUUUGUGGGGUGCUCGAGUGGCGAACGGGUGUGUAACAUGUGAAUCACCUGCCCUUGACUUUGGUAUCACUUCAGGAAACUGGCUCUAAUACCGGAUUCUAGCUCCUGCUGCAUGGUGGGUUUUGGAAAGUUUCGGCGGUUGGGGUUGGACUCGCGGCUUAUCAGCUUGUUGGUGGGGUAGUGGCUUACCAAGGCUUUGCCGGGUAGCCGGCCUGAGAGGGUGACCGGCCACAUUGGGACUGAGAUACGGCGCAGACUCCGACGGGAGGCAGGAGUGGGGAAUAUUGCACAAAGGGAGGAAGGCUGAGGCAGCAACGACGCGUGCGGGAUGACGGACUUCGGGUUGUAAACCGCUUGCGCCUGUGACGAAGCGUGAGUGACGGUAAUGGGUAAAGAAGCACCGGCUAACUACGUG
rnacentral:rRNA from 1 species